rnacentral:rRNA from 1 species
GGUGCAGACGGUUCUUCAAGUCGGGUGUAAAAUCUCCCAGCUUAACUGGGAGCGACCAUUCGAUACUGCUGAACUUGAGGACAACAGGAGAAAGUAGAAUUCCCGGUGUAGUGGUGAAAUGCAUAGAUAUCGGGAGGAAUACCAGUGGCGAAGGCGGCUUUCUAGGUUGUUUCUGACGUUCAUGCCCGAAGGCGUGGGGAGCAAACAGGAUUAGAUACCCUGGUAGUCC